AGAAUAAAUGCCUAAAUGUCUUCUUAGAAAUAUGAGGCUUUGAAAUACUGCUCAGUUAUGUCAUGGGUCUUGCUCCUCAGCUUCCUCUGAAUUUGUAGUAUCUCUAGUCAAAGGAAGGGUGAGGUUUAACAUUUCAGUCCACAAAAACUUUUACUGGAGAGGGUUAAACAUAACGAUUGGGCAAGGUUUGUCUGUCUCCUUGUCCAGCUUGCUUUUUAAAGCAAAAAUUCCCCUGACAGGGAGUACUUUUAAAUUUCAAAUCCUUUAGGGGAUAAUUGGCCAGACUGCUCGGCAGGAGCCACAGCAAAAUCCAAGCAGGCAGCUGUGGGACUGCUAUAGCCGGCCCUUUGCUCGGGCCUUUCUGAGCAGGAAGCGAGUCGCUCGCUGCCCCCGGGUGCGGGCGCGCAGGACCAGCAGCUGCCCCCAGCCACGGGCGCGCCACCUGUUUCCGCCUGGGACUUCCCCCAGCCGGCUCCGAAGUGUGGAGUCAGCAGCUUGGCCUGGCCCGGCAUCAGGGGCCCAGCGCAGCCCUACCCCACCGCCGCCUCCCGUGAGGCCCCGCCUGGAAGAGGCGUGGACUGCACCCUGGUGCGCGCGUUCUGGGCUUGGCCUUGAAAAUCAGGAUGGCGAUGACCGCUGAGCAGUAACCAUCUGAGAUGCUUCUGACAUUGUCACGCCACUCCUAAAUACCUGUAUCUCCUAUGAACAAAAUGCAGUCCACUGACACAGUCAUCAAGAAAUGGCAGAGAAAGAAAGAAUCUGGAUUUCCAAGGUUACCUGUCUCCUUCAGUUUUCUUGUCAUUCAUGUAUUAAUAUUAGUUAAGGAAAUAAACCAGGUAUAAAAAUUUUGCUGUGCGAUAACCCAUAUACACAUAAUAAAACUGACUUUAUUAUCAUAAUUUAAGUCCACAAUGAAUACAUGUCUUUUGAAAGGGGAGAAAAAUAUGAACAAUCCAACAUCAUUAUUUUAGAAUUGUUUUUGUUUUCCACAGAAGUCUUACCACUGAGUACGCCUCAUAUAUCUUCCUAUUUAUAUGUAAAGUUUAGCCUAGACUGAAAAGGUUUGAAUUAAUAGGGGUUGGAAGGCUAUACCCUAAAAAUGCCCUGGAAGAGAGGGGAACAACCUUUUCAUUAUGCAUGCAGUGAAAGUCUGCUGCACUGUUGGGAAAAGCAUAGAAGAGUGGUUUCUCCUAAUCCACAGUGAUUUGUAUGCUGCUGUUGUCCACCUACCUGGUGCAAAGGCAAACACAGCAAAACAUUCUCCCGAUGGAAGCGACUGCAGUGAUUACUGAGCGUCUUUUUUGUCAAAGUACUGUGAUAGGAUGGUGACAGUUGGGAGAAAACUAAAGCAGUAUCCCAAACCUGUGGGCAAAAGUCAGAAGAGAAGACAGAAGCACACGCUGAUGGAUACUGGAAGGAUGGGUUCAGAGACGGAGGAUUUUUGUUUUUAGGAGCCAAGUAACUCAUUGUGGAAAACGGUAAUCAGCAAACAAAAAUGGGUUUCAUCAAAGGUCUAGAUACGUUGCAACAGUUGUUGUAGGACACUAGGAGCAUAAAAAGUGUUUUCUGUUUCGUUUUUCACUUUUCUGCAUUUUUCAAGUAUAU
rnacentral:lncRNA from 1 species